UCUAAGAUCAGAGAGGUGGCAUCUGG
rnacentral:piRNA from 1 species